AGUGAACGCUGGCGGUAGGCCUAACACAUGCAAGUCGAACGGCAGCACAGUAAGAGCUUGCUCUUACGGGUGGCGAGUGGCGGACGGGUGCGGAAUACAUCGGAAUCUACUUUUUCGUGGGGGAUAACGUGGGGAAACUUACGCUAAUACCGCAUACGACCUACGGGUGAAAUCAGGGGAUCUUCGGACCUUGCGCGAUUGAAUGAGCCGAUGUCGGAUUAGCUAGUUGGCGGGGUAAAGGCCCACCAAGGCGACGAUCCGUAGCUGGUCUGAGAGGAUGAUCAGCCACACUGGAACUGAGACACGGGCCAGACUCCUACGGGAGGCAGCAGUGGGGAAUAUUGGACAAUGGACGCAAGCCUGAUCCAGCCAUACCGCGUGGGUGAAGAAGGCCUUCGGGUUGUAAAGCCCUUUUGUUGGGAAAGAAAAGCAGCAGGUUAAUACCCCGCUGUUCUGACGGUACCCAAAGAAUAAGCACCGGCUAACUUCGUG
rnacentral:rRNA from 1 species